GAGGAGACACUGGCACUCGGCUUCCCAGGAGGCAUUGCGCUGCGCACCGGACAGAAACACGGUCCCUCUUAAAGGGACAGGCCGCAUUUUGUUGCUUUCCCACCUGGCUGCAUGGAUAGGAAGCUGGACUCUCUUUGAGCUGCAAUGCUAUCUCUAUUGCCUUACCACCAAAAUGGCGCUCAGGAGAAAGAAGGGUACUGGCGGAGAAAGUGUGGCCUUUAUUUCAAACUUUAUGGUUUCUGUCCUUCCUCACAAUGAAGAAGCAUCAGGAUAGUUAUCUGCAUCUUUCCACGCUAUCAGCAAGCUUUCCAUGUUGUCCCCUGAGGUUUUGCUCAUGGAGCUCACAGUUCCUGGCUUAAUAAACGGCUGCAUACUUCAUGUGACAAGAAAAGAAAUGAGAUAAUAGGUUAACAUAUCCAUUUGCCUCCGCCGGAAACCAAUGGCCCUGGACAGUGAGAGACCUGGAAUGUGCUCCCCACCCAUGCAGAGAGGCAUCUGUCAUUAUCGUUCUGAACGGUCCAUGAGGACAGAACGGUAUCCCACCGCAUACGUUUGCUCGAAGCAUCCACCAGUGGAGGGACCGUCUGACCGGUGAAGGCAUGGAUACUAACCAUGGAAGCCUGAGUAGGACAUGGGUUGGAGAUGGCCUUUCAUAGCUAUCGAUCCCUGGCCUUCUAUAAACAAGAGACAUCUGGAAACACUUGAGGCCAGAGAGAUGCAGUUCUACUUUCAAUCCUCCGUUCUUACGUUACCAAACUGCCCAGCACUAUCUAGUUUGGAAGAAGUCAGCAAUGCCAUCAGCCAACAAAAAAACAACAAAGCCAGCGGACCUGAUGGGAUCCCUGCUGAACUCUUCAAAGAGGGUGGACCUAAGCUGAUACAACAACUCCACCAGCUCAUUGAAAAGGUGUGGGUGACUGACAAAAUCCCAGCAGACUUCAAAGAUGCUACCAUCAUCACCCUUUACAAGAAAGGGGAUAGAACAGACUGCGGGAACUAUCGCAGUAUCUCCCUUCUAACCUCGCAAGAAUCCUUGCAAACCGCCUUCUUUCUGUCUCAGAAGACACCCUCCCAGAAUCCCAGAAUGACUUCCGCUUCUCCAGAGGAACAGUGGACAUGAUCUUCACUGCACGACAGCUCCAAGAAAAAUCAACCUCUGUACGUGGCAUUCAUUGACCUUGCAAAGACAUUUGAAACAGUGAAUCGCAACGCUCUCUGGACCAUCCUCCAAAAAAUUGGGUGCCCUGACAAAUUUGUGAACAUCCUGCGGCUCCUCCAUGAUGACAUGAUGGAAACAGUCUUGGACAGCAAUGGCUCCCAAACUGACCCAUUUAAGUGGAAUCUGGUGUUAAGCAGGGAUGUGUUAUUGCCCCUACCUUAUUUUUCAUCUUCAUUGCUAUGAUUCUUCACCUUGCUGAUGGGAAGCUUCCCACCGGAUUGGAAAUUAUCUAUCGGACAGAUGGCAAGCUAUUUAACCUCAGCAGACUGAAAGCCAAAACCAAGGUCACCACAACAUCUAUUAUAGAACUCCAAUAUGCUGAUGACAACAUAGUCUGUGCACAUUCAGAAGACCUACAAGCCACUAUAAACACCUUCGCAGAAGCAUAUGAGAAGCUCGGCCUCUCACUGAACAUCGAGAAAACCAAAGUGCUCUUCCAACAGGCACCAGUUAACCCCUCUGAAAUGCCAGGAAUAAAGCUUAAUGAUGUAACACUAGAAAAUGUUGACCAUUUCCGCUACCUUGGCAGCCACCUCUCCACAAAAGUCAACAUUGACACUGAAAUACAACACCGUCUGAGCUCUGCGAGUGCAGCAUUCUUCUGCAUGAAGCAGAGAGUGUUUGAGGAUUGGGACAUCCGUAGAGAUACCAAGGUGCUUGUUUAUAAAGCCAUUGUCCUCUCAACCCUGCUCUACGCCUGCGAAACGUGGACAGUCUACAGACAUCACUCUCAACUCCUGAAGCGUUUCCAUCAGCGCUGCCUCAGAAAAAUCCUGCAAAUCUCUUGGGAAGACAGGCGGACAAAUGGCAGAGUGCUGGAAGAAGCAAAGACCACCAGCAUUGAAGCGAUGCUCCUACGCCAUCAACUCCGCUGGACUCACCACGUUGUUCGAAUGCCUGAUUACCGUCUCCCAAAGAAGCUACACUACUCCUAACUCAAAAACGGGAAACGUAACGUUGGCGAGCAGGAAAAGAGAUUUAAAGAUGGGCUUAAAGCCAACCUUAAAAACUGUGGCAUAGACACUGAGAACUGGGAAGCCCUGUCCCUUGAGUGCUCUAAUUGGAGGUCAGUUGUGACCAGCAGUGCUGCGGAGUUCGAAGAGGCACAAAUGGAGGGCUUAAGGGAGAAACGUGCCAAGAGGAAGGCCCGUCAAGCCAACUCUGACCAGGACCACCUUCCACCUGGAAACCGAUGUCCUCACUGCGGGAGAACAUGCAGAUCAAGAAUAGGUCUCUUCAGCCAUCUACGGACCAUCCCCAAGACAACAGAAAUGGAGGACCAUCAUCCUCAAACUAUGAAGGAUCGCCUAAGUAAGUACGUUACCAAGGUUCAUACUCUUAUAAAUAUUCCACAUUUUCAGCAGCCUUGAUAACUGCCAUAAUUUCUCCUCAGGACUAUAGCAAAAUCAAUGUGUUCUGUGCACCUGAUGUUUCACAUCUCACUUUCACUUUGAUCUGAAAAAGGAGCUCAGUAGAACCCUAUUCUUCAAGCAGUGCUCUUUUCCAAGGAAGGCUGUGAACGCGCACUACAUUUAGAAUACAGGAAGUGAACUAAAAUGACUAUAUUUAAAAAACUAGUCUUGACAGGUACUAAGAUUACCAAAAGAGAAUAAUGGUUUUAAUCUGGAUAAUGCAUUUUCAAAGGAGAGAAUCCAAUUUAAAUUCCUUGUGCAGUAACAGAGAGCCUUGUGGCACUUCAGGUGCCACAAAAGCUUAAAUUAACCCGAGGCUUGUCAUUAUGUUCAGGAAUAAACUUGCAGCAAGUUACACUUGCUUGACACAACUCUUUCUUUAAAUCUCAGAUAAGGUUGGCUACAAGAUGACUUACUGAAGGAAGAAGAAAAAGUACAUUCUUACUGUAUAGUUUUAGGUAUCUGAAUAGCUGCAUUGUUGCUUCCUGUCCAUUUCACUUGCAGAUGUCUACACCUCCAUCCACACUUUAUAAGGCUUUAGGAGAGGGCCAAAUAAUCAACAUUGGUGAAUAAAAGUAUCAAGAAAUUAUUGCAACCGUUUUAGUAAAUCUGAAAUCUGAGCAUCUUACCUCAGUCCAAAGAUAUGAGAUUGUUCAUAAUUGAAUAAUGAAUGAAUUUUAGCUGCUGUGUUCACAAUUAUAAGUCUGUCAACAA